rnacentral:lncRNA from 1 species
CCUGAUUAAAUCUUCGCAGGGAGGCGUCUCGAGAACUUUCGCUUAAAAAGGUGAUUUUAAUUCUAUUCUGUAAUUGUUUUUUAGGCUCUUUGCUGGCUGUGCAGGAGCUGUAGGUAUAGGAAUGGACUGUGGUGAGGAGCUUUGUGGUUGGGUGUUAAUGGAGCCAUGAAUUGAUUUUAUUUUCUGCUCUUUAUUCCCUUCUCUCAGCGCUCCCCCAAACUUAUACAUUUUUUUUUCCCUCGUAAGGGAUAAUUCAUUCCAUGAUUGCUAAUAGAUCACAGUAAACUCGGUGUAAUGGAGCAGUAAUUACCUAAAAAGUGAUGGAUUUGGGGGGAUUUUGGAGGCUAAGCUAUCCAAGAGCUACUGUACAAAGUAGGAGCAACUAUUUUGAUGCUGAUCAAUGAAAUGCGAAUUUUCUGCUGAUUCCUCUUAGAACCAGCAGCCAGUUUAACCUUUCAGAGGCACUCGAAGCUCCCCAGGUCUCCCUUACAGUGUAUUCUGUGUAUUUUAUUAACACCUCUGGAAAGAGACCCAGCUGUGAGAGUAACUCAGCAAACACUGGGUUGAUAUUCCAGAGGAUCUGCAAACCCAGCAUUCCCAGGACAUCCUGUAACCCGUUAUUUACCGGGCAGGCUCCUCUUUCCCAGGGAGAUCUCAGCAAGACAAGGGUCAGGUCUUGUCCUGGUACAUUUGGGCAUCUCUUGGGUUGUAAAGCAGCACAAAAGGGCCUUUUUGGGGAGCAGCUUGUGAAGUUAAGGUGUGGUGAAAUGGGAUUCCUGUGUUCCUGCUCUGUGCAGCAUCUUCAUGCACCCCAGAGCAGAGGAAAGCAGGGCUGUGGUCCCCCAAAUUCCUGGAUGCAAAAUUGCAGAAUUCAAUCAACAGCUUGGAUUGUCCCCAGAUGGAGGACAAGGAUGUGUCACUCCACAGUGGCCCUGAGCAGCUGAGCCAGCAGGGUGGGUCUCUCCUGAGGUUUUGAACCAGAACAAAUUUCCUCUUUUCCAAGCACGAUGUCCCUGGGGGUGAAGCUCUGCAGCAAAUUAGGAAUUAACAUCUGUAGAGGCGCAUUAUCCACCACGCCAGUCACGGCUCCGGAACUGCCCGCCGUGUCUCCCCUGAAGGAUCCCUGUUGUGUGUUUAAUAAAACAACCAAACCGGGGCUCA